CAGUAGCCACGGGAAUACGAAGGGGGCUAGCGUUGUUCGGAAUUACUGGGCGUAAAGCGUGCGUAGGCGGUUACUCAAGUCAGAGGUGAAAGCCCGGGGCUCAACCCCGGAACUGCCUUUGAAACUAGGUGACUAGAAUCUUGGAGAGGUCAGUGGAAUUCCGAGUGUAGAGGUGAAAUUCGUAGAUAUUCGGAAGAACACCAGUGGCGAAGGCGACUGACUGGACAAGUAUUGACGCUGAGGUGCGAAAGCGUGGGGAGCAAACAGGAUUAGAUACCCCCGUAGUCCCUGUCUCUUAUAC
rnacentral:rRNA from 1 species